CCUGUCUGUUUUUAUUUUCACUUUCUCCCUCUACAGUUUGUUUUCUCUCUCCUCCUGCAAAUGCUCUCUUCUCCUGCGAUUUCUCUAAUUUUUUCCCACACCUUCUAUUUAGCAAAUUUUCAUCUUCUCAUCUUCAUGCAUUGUUCUAGCAAGUUUAUGGGCAGAAAUCGCGAAUUGCAAAUGGAUUCAACUGAAGCCCUGAUCCAAACGAUGAACCAAAACUUCCAGCUGUUACUUAAGAACGAUGAAUACAUGUUCUUUUUGUGAUGUGGGUGAUUGAUUGAUUAUGUUCUGGAUGGUGUACGCAAAGAAGCUGAGAAUUGUGACUGCUUACAAGGGCAAAACAGCGAGGAAGUUGCAAUUCUGGUUCGUCUUCUUCAAGGGGUUGUCUGUCGAACUUGAAAUGUAAAUGUGGAACUGAUGCGGUGGAUGCGGAUUGUGGUUUUUUCAAGUGGAUUGGUGGUGUUAGAGAAAUAGGGGAUGAACUCCGCUUUCAGUUGUUCGAGAAGGAAACCACAAUUGCGGAAUUGGAAAUGCAGAAGCAGAUAGUUGAAGAGAAGGUUAAGAAGUUGCAAUUGAAAAAGGAGAACAUGGAAGAAGACUUGCAAGAGUUGAAAGCAGAGGUUUCUCAAAUGCGAAUUGAACUUAUGAAGAGUUCUAGGAAUGAGAAGAAUUUUUCUUUGGCUUUAAUGUUGUCAUGGGUCUUAUUUGGAAUUAUUGUGAUGUAUUUGAAGUAGGUUGUGUUAGAAUUGUUGAAUGUAAUGUGUUGAAGUUGUGAAUAAAUGGAAGGUGUUUGGAAACAUUCAA